UACGUAGGGGGCAAGCGUUGUCCGGAUUUAUUGGGCGUAAAGAGCGUGUAGGCGGCCAGAUAGGUCUGUUGUGAAAACUCGAGGCUCAACCUUGAGACGCCGAUGGAAACCAUCUGGCUAGAGUCCGGAAGAGGAGAGUGGAAUUCCUGGUGUAGCGGUGAAAUGCGCAGAUAUCAGGAAGAACACCCGUGGCUAAGGCGGCUCUCUAGUACGGUACUGACGCUGAGACGCGAAAGCGUGGGGAGCGAACAGG
rnacentral:rRNA from 1 species